UGCAGUCGUACGAGAGUUUUAACUCAAGUGGCGGACGGGUGAGUAACACGUAAGAAUUUACCUUUAGGAGGGGGACAACAACUGGAAACGGUUGCUAAUACCCCAUAUGCUUUCGAGUGAAAUGGAUUUCCGCCUAGAGAGAAGCUUGCGGCUGAUUAGCUUGUUGGUGAGGUAAUGGCUCACCAAGGCGACGAUCAGUAUCUGGUUUGAGAGGACGAUCAGACACACUGGAACUGAGACACGGUCCAGACUCCUACGGGAGGCAGCAGUGGGGAAUUUUCCGCAAUGGGCGAAAGCCUGACGGAGCAAUACCGCGUGAGGGAUGACGGCCUAUGGGUUGUAAACCUCUUUUUUCAGGGAGGAAUCAAUGACGUGUACCUGAAGAAUAAGCAUCGGCUAACUCCGUGCCAGCAGCCGCGGUAAGACGGAGGAUGCAAGUGUUAUCCGGAAUCACUGGGCGUAAAGCGUCUGUAGGUGGUUUAAUAAGUCAACUGUUAAAUCUUGAGGCUCAACCUCAAAAUCGCAGUCGAAACUAUUAGACUAGAGUAUAGUAGGGGUAAAGGGAAUUUCCAGUGGAGCGGUGAAAUGCGUAGAUAUUGGAAGGAACACCGAUGGCGAAGGCACUUUACUGGGCUAUUACUAACACUCAGAGACGAAAGCUAGGGUAGCAAAUGGGAUUAGAUACCCUGGUAGUCC
rnacentral:rRNA from 1 species